UAGCAUAUCAAUAAGCGGAGGAAAAGAAACCCAACCGGGAUUGCCUUAGUAACGGCGAGUGAAGCGGCAAAAGCUCAAAUUUGAAAUCUGGUACCUUCGGUGCCCGAGUUGUAAUUUGGAGAGGGCAACUUUGGGGCCGUUCCUUGUCUAUGUUCCUUGGAACAGGACGUCAUAGAGGGUGAGAAUCCCGUGUGGCGAGGAGUGCGGUUCUUUGUAAAGUGCCUUCGAAGAGUCGAGUUGUUUGGGAAUGCAGCUCUAAGUGGGUGGUAAAUUCCAUCUAAAGCUAAAUAUUGGCGAGAGACCGAUAGCGAACAAGUACAGUGAUGGAAAGAUGAAAAGAACUUUGAAAAGAGAGUGAAAAAGUACGUGAAAUUGUUGAAAGGGAAGGGCAUUUGAUCAGACAUGGUGUUUUGUGCCCUCUGCUCCUUGUGGGUAGGGGAAUCUCGCAUUUCACUGGGCCAGCAUCAGUUUUGGUGGCAGGAUAAAUCCAUAGGAAUGUAGCUUGCCUCGGUAAGUAUUAUAGCCUGUGGGAAUACUGCCAGCUGGGACUGAGGACUGCGACGUAAGUCAAGGAUGCUGGCAUAAUGGUUAUAUGCCGCCCGUCUUGAAACACGGACCAAGGAGUCUAACGUCUAUGCGAGUGUUUGGGUGUAAAACCCAUACGCGUAAUGAAAGUGAACGUAGGUUGGGGCCUCGCAAGAGGUGCACAAUCGACCGAUCCUGAUGUCUUCGGAUGGAUUUGAGUAAGAGCAUAGCUGUUGGGACCCGAAAGAUGGUGAACUAUGCCUGAAUAGGGUGAAGCCAGAGGAAACUCUGGUGGAGGCUCGUAGCGGUUCUGACGUGCAAAUCGAUCGUCGAAUUUGGGUAUAGGGGCGAAAGACUAAUCGAACCAUCUAGUAGCUGGUUCUGCGA
rnacentral:rRNA from 1 species